GGGAAUGGCGGCCGUUUUAAUGGUGUCGGAGGAGGAAUGGGAGCAAAUUGUUGCAUCAAAAGAAAUAAAAGCCAAGCAUGUCAUGCACAUGAUACAUAUCGAAAUACAUUUUCCUCUUUUUCUUUUUUCAUAAUUUGUUAGUAGGCCGAAAUUAGUAAUAGGCCCAAACAUAAACUUCAUGUGUUCUGUCCCAGCUCUAAUUAGGCCCAUUGUCUUAAUCCAUGGCCGGCCCAACGUCUUUCUUGAUGCUCUCGCUUCGACGAUGGAUUAUCACCUUGCAUUUCGGUAUGUAAUCGUGUUUACAGAAAUGCCUUCAAAUAUAACAUUAUUUCGGCUUCUUCUUGUUCCAGCGACUUCUGUGUAGACAUUGUGACCUUGAUUGCCGCCUCCAUGAGUAACUUUGGAUGCAGAUUUAAGGUGCAGGACUGUUGUUAGUUGUCGCUGGUUGGCAUGCGCGGCAGAGAGGCCUGCUUAGUUCAUGCUUGUAAGACCAUUUCGUAAUACCUCGUUCUUAACGAAACUCAAACUAAAUGGGGUUCUUUCUAAUUCAACAGUUUUAGGAGUAGAUAUUGUACUUUUUGAACUUUUCCUUUCGAGUCUUCCCUCAAAGCUUUUAAAACGUGUCUGCUGGGGAGAAAUUUUACAUCUCGUUCCCUCUUUCAACCGAUGUGAGAUCUCAGUAGAACUUCACUUCAUCCUAUAAUAGAAUAAGAUAAAGGGAGUAAAAAGAUAAUUUUAGGGCUACCAAUUUCCUUAGGGUAAAUAGAAUAGCCCCA